CGAGGGGUAAGGCCCGCCUUAGGCGGGCACACGACCGGCGCACGGGUGCGUAACGCGUUUGCAACCUACCUGUAACUGGAACAUAGCCCCGAGAAAUCGGGAUUAAUUUUCCAUACCAUCCUUUGGUGGCAUCACCUAAGGAUGAAAGCUGAGGCGGUUACAGAUGGGCAUGCGUGACAUUAGCUUGUUGGUGCGGUAACGGCGCACCAAGGCCGAGAUGUCUAGGGGGUCUGAGAGGAUGAUCCCCCACACUGGUACUGAGACACGGACCAGACUCCUACGGGAGGCAGCAGUGAGGAAUAUUGCGCAAUGGACGAAAGUCUGACGCAGCCAUGCCGCGUGCAGGAUGACAGCCCUAUGGGUUGUAAACUGCUUUUCUGCUUUAAGAACCAGCCUUACAUGUAAGGCCUUGACGGUACAGCAGGAAUAAGCAUCGGCUAACUCCGUGUCAGCAGCCGCGGUAAUACGGAGGAUGCAAGCGUUAUCCGGAUUCAUUGGGUUUAAAGCGUGCGCAGGCGGAUGGGUAAGUCAGAGGUGAAAGCCUGCAGCUUAACUGUGGAAUUGCCUUUGAUACUGUCCAUCUUGAGUCCAGCUGAAGUAGGCGGAAUGUAGUAUGUAGCGGUGAAAUGCUUAGAUAUACUACAGAACACCCAUUGCGAAGGCAGCUUACUAAACUGGUACUGACGCUCAGGCACGAAAGCGUGGGGAGCAAACAGGAUUAGAUACCCUGGUAGUCCACGCCGUAAACGUUGAUCACUCGUUGUUGGCAAUACACCGUCA
rnacentral:rRNA from 1 species